rnacentral:rRNA from 1 species
UUUGGUAGCUUUUACUUCCCUCACCACCACACCCCUGAAUACAUAUGACCUUGGAAGCUAAGCAGGGUCAGGUUUGUUAGUAUUUGAAUGGGAAAUGACCUGGGAAUAGCUGGUGCUGUAUACU